rnacentral:lncRNA from 1 species
GACACCAUGGGGAGGUGACACCGCGAGGAGGUGACACUGGGGGUGAUGUCUUGGAGAGGUGACACUGUGGGGUGACACCAUGGGGAGGUGACAAUCUGUGGAGGUGACACGGUGGAGGUGACAUGGUGUGGAGGUGACACCAAGGGGAGGUGACACCAAGGGGAGGUGACACUGUGUGGAGGUGACACGGUGGAGGUGACACGGAGGGGAGGUGACAUGGUGGAAGUGACACCGAGGGGAGGUGACGCUGUGGGGGGAGGUGACACUUUGUGGAGGUGACACAGUGGAGGUGACACCAAGGGGAGGUGACACUCCGGGAGGAGGUGACACCGUGGAGGUGACACUCUGGGGGGAGGUGACGCUGCGGGGGGAGGUGACACUGUGAGGAGGUGACAUGGUGGAGGUGACACUCUGGGGGGAGGUGACACUUUGUGGAGGUGACACGGUGGAGGUGACACCGAGGGGAGGUGACACUUUGUGGAGGUGACACUGUGGGGAGGUGACAUGGUGGAGGUGACACGGUGGAGGUGACACUGAGGGGAGGUGACACUGCGGGGGGAGGUGACACUCCGGGGGGAGGUGACACAGUGGAGGUGACACUGAGGGGAG